CAGGCACACCAAAGCUGAGGGAACUUUUGGAGUAGUGAAACCUCUCUGACUAGAACCAAAAAAUGUGUAUUAUUUUGGUCUGUUGGAGACUUUGAUUAUUGUCAUCCAGGGUGAUCUGAGGAACACAAGUUACAGGUCCAAGCUGGAUGUAGACAUUUACUCAGCAGAAACAGGACACUUGCAUAGUUCCUGUUUCUUCAUGCCCAUAUGAUAGAGCAGGACACAAUUUCUCCAAAGUUCCCAUCUCCAUUUCUUUACAGUGUCUGAGAGGCCCGAGAGCAUCCAGUUCCUUGCCUGGAGACAGGUGGGUGGACACCAGUCACAGCUCAAAAGCAUCUGUCCUCACUCUACUGGUAGGCUCUAAUAAUGAUUUGGCCAUAGACAUCCCUGCUUGGGACAGAACCACACAGAGUCUUCUUUUCUUCUUAGCUCCUGUUGCUCUGUUUUGAAGCAGCUUGGAGAAAACAUGCUAGAGGUCAGUCCUUCACACAGCCAGUCUGUGUCAGCGACGCUCUGGAGAGGAGGCUUGCCCUGGUUUGAUUUGGGUAGUUUGGGAAUACCGUGCAAGGAGCAAUCCAAAAACAUAGAGUCAACUGUUGAGGAGACAUUUCUCCACACAGCUGACUCCAAGCACAGAUAUUACAGAGCUGAUUACAAAGUGCAACACAGAGUUUGGAUGGCACAUGCUACAUCUCAACCCCACCACUACCCUUAGACGUGUGGGUGGGGCAGCUACAGAAAGGCUGCAAUACCCCAAUGAUUGGCAGUCUGAGAGGAAAUAGAGGGAGAAACCCAGGUCAGCAUCAUCAUUCUCAAGGUGGGCCCUGUGCACAGAAAGCCUCCUUCCUGCUGCACUGAAUGCAGUUAAUGAGAGCUAGUGGGAACCGUAGCCAGAGAAGAAAGACUGGGAUGAUGCCACGCGGUGGAGACAGCAGGGCUAGUGUCAAGGUGCUCCUUUUGAGCCUUGAUGUGAGUCGGGUAUACUGGGUAUGUGUUCUUAAACAUGUGACUGAAAACCCCCAGUGUUAGAACCAGAAUGAGCUGUAGCCCAGGACAGUAGCAAGGGAGGAUCAACCUGUUCCAACUUGGAGAAUCAGGAAAGAGUGCCUGGAGAGGGUGGAUUUGCAUUCAGAGUUUUAAAACAUUCAUUCAUUCACUCAUUCACAUUUAUUAGAAUCCACGAUGUAUCUGGCUCUGUAUGGGGUGCCUGUGGACGGACAUCGCUCCAGUUUCUGCAGAACACGCAGCCUGCAUUCAUUUCAGACUGGAGGUUUGAUAGGAUCAAAUAUGUGGCGUCCCAGGCGGCAGGAGGCAAAGUGAGAGAGCAAGAUGGCGGAGAUGGAAUCUACUGUACCUGGCGCGCAUUAGCUACCACGUUUGUUGUCAUGACAAAGUGCCCACCAAAGGCAACUUGAGAAGAGAGGUUUAUUCUGGGCAACCACGAAGGUGUGUCCAUUGUGGCAGGAAGGCUCAGCAGCAGGAGCUUGAGGAAGCUGUCACGUGGACUCCACACCAGGAGGCAAGGGAGACAAACCUGGCACUGAGCCCACUCUCUCCUUUUCAUCCUGUUCAGGACCCUGCUCAGAGGAUGGCGCCACCCAUGUUCGGGGAAGGUCUUUGCUCUUCAGCUAAACCUUUCUGGAAAAACCCUCACAGACACAGCCAGAGCAUAUUUCCACCGUGAUUCUAAGUCCAGCCAAACUGACCAUGCACAUUCACCAUCACAGGGCAACUGGAACAUGAAAGAGAUGGUGGUUAGGGGUGGGACUGGAGCACGGAGGAGUUUAAGCAACAGUAAACAAUGUACAGUUCAUUCCGAAGGCCGGAAAGUAGGAGCUCACAUUUGGCUUAAUGUACAUUUUAGCUUGAAAAAUUCAGUGGUUUCCUAUUAGGCAAAGGACACACUAUUUCAAUUACAUCUAAAUUAUAAUAUAAAGACUGAAACCUUCAGCAGGGGCCCUGAGGCCUUGUCUAGCCUCUACAGCCUUAUUCUGGACUAUCCCACCAUUCCUUCAUGCUUCUGGGGUCAGGGAUGGAUACUCUGUCACCACCCACCACCGGGCCUUUGCAUGGUUAGUGGCCUUUUCUAGAAACUCUUUGUCUCUUUGCUUAAUUAACAGAUCAUUCUCCAAUCUCAGCUGAGCCAUUGUUUUGUUCUCACAAUUUCUCAUGAUCCCCACUCCAACCCAGGCCCACUCAUGUAGAGUAUGUAAAUAUCUGUUAGUGACUGACUCCUCAAUUGCUGUUUCUCCUUUCCUCGUUUACCCUCGAGGACAAAGACUCUUUUGUUUAUAGUUUUAUCUUUGGUGCCUGGCAUAUGGCAGACAUGCACCAAGUGUUUAUUUUAAAGACAAGAGAAAAAGCUGGGUUGGGGAGAUAGCUCAGGGGUGUGUGUGUGUGUGUGUGUGUGUGUGUGUGUACAAUCUCUGUAAGGUCAGUCUUCCUCUAGUGCAGUGGUUUCUCAACCUGUGGGUCACGAUCCCUUGAGGGUGUCACAUAUCAGACAUCCUGUAUAUCAGAUAUUUAUAUUAUGAUUCAUAACAGUAGCAUAAUCACAGUUAUGAAGUAGCAAUGAAAAUAAUUUUACAGUUGGGGGUCACCAAUCAUAAACUUUGAGGACAAAAUAAUGGCUCAUCUGAGAUCUGGAGAAUGAUCUGUUUAUUAAACAAAGGGAGAAAGAGCAUGAGGCACUGUAUUAAAGGGUUGCAGCAUCAGAAGGUUGAGAAUCUCUACUCUAGUGGCUGACCAGGCCAGAUCUGGAGGGCUCAUUGCUUCAGGGGGCUUCUUCACCUGGCUCCGAUGGGAGAAGAUCCUGUUGUUUUCCAUGAGCUAAUUAAGAGCAAGGCCUGGCCUAAGCUCAGGGAGGCCAAGGCAUAGAUUGAGUGAGGAUGUGGGUCAGAGAUCCAGGGAGUUUCAACUCGGUGUGAAUGAAGGGGUUAACAUUCAAAUGACAGCAAAGUGACAGCCUGAGGAAAAUUGCUUUGUCACAAUAGUCUCUGAAACUGUGGAGGCUCAGAAUGAGUGGGCUGGUGAAUUGUUCUUCCUUCCUCUUGGGACUGAGAGAAGAAAUGGGCUCCCUCCACAGGAGGAGAGAUUGAAGCAAAUCAUCUCUCGACAAGCUUCCACAGAGCGCUUGGAGACGGACUCUCAAGGGCGGGCAACCCUCACAGAACUGGCCCAAAGCCAUGGUGGCAAAUCUGACUCCAUUAUCCCAGGGCAAGGAGUGCUGUGGUUUCCUCCAACCUGUCCCCUGGUUUGGCAUGAACGUGGUGGAUGGUCAAGACUGUCUACACAGCCAGCGAACGGAUUAAAUUGCAGGAACAGUGAUUGAACAAGCAAGGGAAACACCAUUAAGACUCAGGAAGUAAGCAACUCAGAAGCCUCAGGAAGUCCCCGAAACUGAGAAGAUAUACUAGGUCCCUCCCUCUAGCAUUCGUGUGCAGCAAAGACUAGGGAGAGACUCUUCCAGACCAACUGAGCUGCCUGGAAGAGUCAGAGACCAGCCAAACAGUCUGAAAGAGAAAAAGACCUGUGGAGCUUUCUGGAAAACUCUCAGAUCAGCUGAGCUGCCUAGAAUAGGCAGAGACAAGACAAGCAUCUGGAAGAGACAGAGGCCACACAAACUGCCUGAAAGACACAGAGAGCAGCAGAGCAGCCUGUAAGAAAAUUCUCUCACCUGCUGAAUUGCCUGCAAGUUGUUUAGUGAGUUCCAGGGUCCCUGCUUUGGUGGCCUGUCACCCAUGUUUGUCUGGGCUUUUGGGGAUCAGCUGUCUUUGAGUCAUUUCUGCCCCAGUAAAUGACCUUUCACCUACAUUCCUGUAACCCUGACAAAGGUCAUCGGUUCACCAGGUUGGCUUACGUUCGCCAUUGGUUCCCUCUCUGUGGUUAAUAGACGCUCCUGCGUAUUUUCCCAGGGACAAUGUCACAUGAGAUUUUCCGGUGACAGGAGUGUCAGUCCAGAAUCUUAUACAUAGUGAAAUUGCAUUUCAAAAAUUAAAAGGAAACAGACAUUUCUCAGAUAAAGGAAACCUAAGGGAAUAUGUUACCACAGAUCUAUCUGAGUAAAUGACUAAAUUUAAAUUAAAGGGGGUUAUUGAAAAAGAAAGACAUAAAGUAAAAUUUAAAAUAAAUAAAUACUGUUAAAAAAGAAAAAGAAAGACAAUUUUUUUUAAAGACUCUUCAAAUAUUUUGAAGAAGAAAAAAAAUACCUAAAAAUACAAGUUCAAGAGACUUCUUCCUCUCAAGUUUCCUAAACUUUAUGCAGGAAGAAUUAUCAUAGUAUUCGAUAUGAUUAUCAAUAUAUGUAAAGAAAAUAUUCAUAGCACCUGUAUUAUAUGUGAGUGAGGGUAAAGGGAUUUAGAGGCAAGUAAGAUUUCUAUAAUUUAUUCAGAUUGGUAAAAUGUUCCCAUUUGUAGAGUUUGAUGAGCCAGAUACACACACACACACACACACACACACACACACACACACACAAAAAUGCCAUAGUGGAUCAAAUCAAAUCAAAGUAGAAUCUUGAAUCUGUCAUGUGCCUGAUGGGAAGUUAGGAAAAAGGACACAGAAAAGUGAGAAACAGAGGAAAAUGAAAAUGAAAAGAAAGUUGCAAACUCAAGUCUUGGCCCAGCAGUAACUGUACUUUGUACAUGGUCAGCCAUCCCAUUCGUACCACACCAUUUUAAUUGUUUUUAUUGCACUUGUACAUUUGUUUACGUGUGUUUUCAAUAUAAAAGAAGUUUUGUUUUUUACCUCAGUGCAGAAAAUAGUAGCCAGCAAGGGACCUUAUUUUAGCACUGUAGCUCCAAAUGUAGAGACAAGCUGGGAAGAGGAGAAAAACUUGGACCGAUGUGAUUUCCUCUGGAUUUGCGUUUGUUUCCGAGAACUUGCACAGAGGACGUGGCUGAUGCCCUCAUUUGGCUGCGAAGCAUUUGAGGUUGUUUGUACUAGAAAAAAACAAAUCCUUGUGAAAAGCUGGUGGGCUGCUGUCAGAUUGCUCUGGGCUAACCCUCAGAAUGCCGUCAGCACAAAGAUGGAACUAGCAGCUGAUGUAUUGUGGUAAUUACUCAAUACAGUGAAGGCAAAGGGGGGGGGGGUAACAGUGAGAAACGUUUUCCCACAAAAAUGUUACGUUUUCUUGGGAUUUUGUGUUUUCCUAUGCUCUGCCAGCAACAGACUCAGUGUUGAUGUCUAGUUAUGGGUGUUGAAACCUUCCACAGUUCAUUAGUUCUCCCUUUGCAAGAACGUGGAAAUUCUACUAUGUUCUAAGAGGGAACUCAACUCUGUGGCUAGCUGUGUAGAGAACAUUCUGUGUAACCUGUGUGCUAGUGAGGCCGCCUGAGCUGCUAUCACAGCAGAUCAGUCAUAUUGACUCCUCUCUGGAGAAAGGGCACCCAUAAAAGGCUCACGCAGAAAGAUGUCCACGUGUCGUUUGCCAGUCCCCACCACACCUCACCAAUGGUGCAAGAGGUUGCAGGUUGGAGCUGGUGCAGCCCUGGCACUGCACAGCUGUAAUCUACUCCGGUCUCCUCUCCUUUGGCAGAGACAGCUCACUCUUCUCUGUGACUGUGUCUUUCCUUCCAGCAAAGUGUCUGUGCCCUUAGGAGAUGCCCUGGGCUCUUGCAUAAGUACAGGGGAAUUGGGUUCUUCUUUCUGCUAAAAUGACAAUGGCUUAAAGAGAGGGAAAGGAACCCUGGUGUGGCUGAGGAAGACACUUCUCAAAUCUCUUUCUCUCCCCCCACCACUCUGCCAUUCCUUUUUCCCAAAGGGCCUUGCCAAGGUCGUCCUGCAGAAGGAGAGAUGGCCAAAGGGUGCGUGUUUCCCUCCUGCUCCAAGUCUGCACUGGAUUCUACUCACACCCUAAAUACAUGGAUGUUCCUGGGUACAGGGACUCUGUGAAAUGGAGCUGGAGCUCCUUACCUGAACUGGAAUGAAACUUCAGUAGAGAGCAGCUAUGUGUGCUUUUGGUGGUGUGGUACCAAUUCCUAGAAGGAGGAGAGAACAUGUACUAGGGGACAGGGUGGCUCAUACUUUGUAUUUCUCCAUGAUCCCCUAGGAUAUAGAGCCCCAGUUUCCACCUCAGGAGCUUAUCUGGUCCUGGAGUGUGAACAGGAAGCCACCCUAGUGGGGGGGUCAUUGGACAUGAGUGGGAUCAGUUACUUAGUCAACUGUCACUACUCUGGUUAUGACCGACUUCAAAAGGCAAGCAUAGAAGGAGCAACCCCAGAGGGUCCGUGUGAAGAGCACAUCCCCCACAUAUAUCUCAAUUCCUCCAUUCCCCUGAGGCCUCCUUCUUGUAAAAUUUGAAGGCUGAUAUUUUUCUGUGUUCCAGCUUUGGAGACCACAAAGUUGAAUCAAACAGGGAAGGGCCAGGGGGUCGAAAGAACACUAUAAGAACAAAAUGAACAGCGGGAUUAGGAGGGCUCUCUGUCUUCAGCUUCUGCCCCACUGAGCCUAAUCAGUAUCGUAACUCACUUGAGAUCCUUCUGAUUCAGCCUCUCACGCUACCCUCUGACCCUAGCAGGAUCCUGCCAGCUGUUUAGUAAGGGAUGCUUUUGUUCUGGAAACCUCAAGGACAAAUCAGCCAGACACUGAAAAGCAGUCCCAGAUCCUCACCCACUCUAAACAGAAGAUAAGAUGUCCUCUUUUAGACAAACCAGACUCAAUCACUAUGUUAUUGUAUCAACAGUAAAUACCAUGUUAUGCCAACAGGAAACGUGUCAUUCUUGUUUACUUAAUCUCUCCACUUUGCACAGAUUUCAGAUAAAGUUAAACAGAUGUCUUCUAGCCCCAGUUUUUUCUUAUAGACUUCCAAAAAAUCCAUUUAUACUUUGAAGGCAUUUGUUGAGUGCUCUCUCUCUCUCUCUCUCUCUCUCUCUCUCUCUCUCUCUCUCCCCCUUUCUCCCUCUGUCUUUCUCUCUCCACUCUCUCUAUGCUGGCUUCGAUUUCAGACUAUGUAGACAAAGUUAGCCUUGAAAGCCUGGGCAAUCCUCCUGUUUCAGCCUCCCAAGUGCUGGGAUUAUAAGAGUGAGCUACCACAUUUGGCUUUGACUCACCCCAUUGAUUUCCUCUUUCAUCUCCCCAAAAGAUCAUGUUUUAUAAAUAAUGAAAUGUCCACAGAUUCUUACAGAGCAUUACUGGCUACACAAUAUAUCAUGAACUAUUAUAUAAUAAAGUGAAGCCUUUACAUUUUACAAAUAACUUUUCACUUCAUUACCUGGAAAAUUCACAGCCUCAUGAGGAAGUAAUUUUUAUUUUCAACAUUUUAUAGAUGAAGACACUAGAAUUUAGAGACCCACCUAAAAUGACACCAUGAAGAACCACGUUCAGGCUCCCUGACUCCAGACCCGAUGUAUAACUUUCCCCCUUGGCCAAUGACUGUGGCUGUGCUGAGGAGAGUGCUGGCCUUGGGUUCCAUUCCCAGCACUGCGUAAACUGGGGCUUGAUGGUGUGCACGGGUGAUCUCAGCCCUUGGGAGGUGGAAGCAGGAAGAUCAAAGUCAUCCUCUACUAUAAAGAGAGUUUGAGGCCAGCCUGUGCUACAGUGGGCUACAGGAGACCCUGUCUCUCUGUCUCUAUCUCUGUCUCUGUUUCUCUGUCUCUCUGUCUUUCUGUCUCUCCGUCUCUCUCUCUCUCUCUCUCUCUCUCUCUCUCUCUCUCUCUCUCUCUCUCUCUCACACACACACACACACACACACACACACACACACACACACACACAGAGUCAAGGUUGAUCAUGAACACGAACUAUUGGUAACCAUGCCAACUACAUUGAUAAUAAAAGGGCUUCCAAGCCAGUUCAGGGACUUUUGAAAGUAAUGCUACUGGAGCAUUCAAACACAAUGAUCUCUGUGUGGUAUGCCAGCAGUGGGAAGCUAGGGAGAAGACCUGUGUGCUCUUUCAGAGCCUCCUAGGCCUAUACAGCCAGUCAUCAACCAGAAGGCCACACCUGUUCUUAAUGCAGGUCUCCAAUUGGGCUAUUUAAAUUUCCACCAUGACUAAGCUAUUAUGUAUACUUAGGCUUCAAAACUACAGAAGCCUGGUGAUUGAUGUGAGAAGUCACCCCACAGGUAAAGGUGAAGAGGCCCUGGUACCAGGCUGCGAUCUAAUGGAGCCUGUUGCUGUGGAAGCUCAAGUUCUCCUCUCCCGGUACUGGCUCUCUGCAGCCCACUGGCCAGCAGGAAGCAAAGCACUAACAUGGUUAAUGUGGUUAAGGAAUCUUCUAGGACAGGCAUGGCUACUUUGGGGAGACACCUCUGUCCCUGCCAGGCAUAGUCACAGAGUGAUGUCAGGAGAGGGGAGGUAGGGGAACCUUCACAGAGAAGGACUUUUGUAUUCUAGGAAGACAUUUUUCCUAUGGAGUGCUCCUUUGUAGGGGAGAAGUGAGCUUUUCAAAGGUGACUGGGAUGUCUCCCUUAACAUUGUUCUGUUUAUUAAUCAGUUUUCCAGAGUGGCCUGUGUGUCAGACUGUACUAAAUGACAGGGGUGCAGUGGUGAAUUAAAUACCAGACCUGGACCCAACGAUUCCUUUGGUCCCUGGGAGAGUGGGAAGGGAAUGAAGUUUAGGCACGAUGACGGUUUGAAAGAGAACAGGAGAUGCAGAUAACAAUUCCCGGGAGCUUUGAUUGAAAGUUGCCAUGGUGAGAGGGUGAGUGGCAGUCCCAGCCAAUCCUUCAACUGAACCACCAAAGCAACCUUGGAAAGCCCCAGGGUGGGCCAGAAAGACAUCCGAAGCCACUCCAGGCUCACAUGCCAGCAGAGGGGGGAUAGGGGACAAUGGGCAAGAGACAAAGAGACCCUGGACAUGCGGGGUCUGCUGUUUUCUGCCAUCUCAAGGAUGCCUGGGAAGGUCAGGGAGAGAUGGUUUUUAUCUGACAGGAAUGGAUGGUAUUUGGAAGUACUGUGGACAUUGCUGAGUCAGACUGGGAUUAAAUCAAAUUACACAUUCCACCAAUUAAGCCUCUUACUCACCAGGAAGUGGGAGCACAGGAAGAGAGAGGGCAGAUGAGUUGAAAGAUGCUUGUUUAUUCUCCACAUAUCUAUCUCCGACAAAAAUUUGCUAUGAUUUCAAGAUUUUGUGAAUGUAUAGAAGGCACCUUUAGAUUCCUGUUUAUAUCCUUUCAGCCUUUACUGAAGGUUACAGGCAGACUGCCUAGGCAUGUGGUUAACUUUCCAAGUCUCUUGACUAGUAUGCCAUCAGCCAAAGAAAUGUGCCCUUCCUGAAAGUAGAUGGGUCAGGCCAUGGCCUCAGAAGCGACUGAACAGCCAGUGAGGAACUGGAGCUGGUGGAAAGCUCUCCAGCUUUCUUUCCUCCUCAGAGGACAGAUCUGAGGGGUGGUCUUAAGGAUUCCAUAAAAAUUCAGUCCUCAGCCCUGUGUUCCUGCAUCUUCUUGCUAUGACAGAGCCGCCCCACCCAUGCUCCUUGACCCCGAAAAGGCUGCUCUGCCAUCAGAGAAUUCAUGCCUGGAACCCGGCAUCCUACAAACCCUGUAACUGAUGCUACCCACAGCUCUGCAGACCAGAAUGUGUGACCACACCACUACUUGCCCUUCUCAAAGGCUCCAAUGCAAUUUUCCUUCCACCAAAAUAGUCUCCUGGAGCUGUGGGGUUGUACCAGAGGCUCGGCAGAAAGGACUUACCCACAAAGCUGGACCUUUCGAAGCAGGAACCAGUACUUAAGUGGGCCUGACCCAAAACCCCUGAAAAUGACCAAGUGACAGUUUCCUGAAUCUUCAUAAGGCUUAUCUUCUCUACAGCUCACAUGUCUUAUAAGUCCUUGAGCAAAUUGGGUGCCCUUGUUGUCCUGUGUGAGCAGUAUUAGGCCAUUCCACCAAUGGUCCUAUAAGGGACAGUCAGGCCUAACAGGAGAGUGGUCACCACUCUGCCAGCAAAGUGUGCAGACUCCAACCACAUGUUCUGAGUGGUGUGGUCGGCUCUGCAUAAACUCAGUCAUUCUAAUCCUCGUUUCUAGGUCAGUGUUAUCAGAAUGUGGCCAUAAAGGUUUAUCUGUACUCUCUGGCUACAGCAUACCUCUGCUACAGCAGCUAAAAUUUGAGUUACUACUUGGCUGUGCCCCCGUGAGUUGGAUACAGCAAGGAAAUCAUUUCUUCUCUUAGGACCUACCUGGUUUCUACAGGAGUAAGACUAGUAAAUUGCUCAGUUACCUAAUUACUGCCACUACUUCUGUGUAGCUGGGUGGCAUCCUCCUCCUCCUUUGGCUACCUUCUUUUUCCCUCCCAGAUUUCUCCUUCUAUGUAUUCUCUCUCCUGCCAGCCCCGCCUAUUCUUUCUCCUGCCUUGCUAUUAGCUGGUCAGUUCUAUAUUAGACCAUCAGGUGCUUUAGACAGGCAAAGUAACACAGCUUCACAAAGUUAAACAAAAGUAACACACUUUAAAAUAAUGUUCUACAAUAUUACCUGAGUCCUAUAGGAAGGGCCAUGAUAAUAUGCUGUGAGUCUCCAGCUGAAGCUUCCUUCAGACCCUGCGUUCACAGCCCUCAAAAUCUCUAUGUAUCCUAAUUUCUGCAAGAUAUAACCACAUAAUAAUUUCUAGAAGGACAUUCUGGGGAGCUCAAAGAGUCUGUCUUUGCUCUGGCUUCAUAGAACUUCGCCUCCUGGGUAUUUGGCUCUGCUCUGGACUGGUGACACAGUUAGAAUGACUGGCCUGGGACAAUCCCUUGCUUUUUGGUCCAUUUCUUCCAUUGAGUUGUGGAUGCUUAGCGAACCUUUGCUAGCCUUCUAUCCGUUUUCUUCCGAGAAUACCAUGCUUUUUUAGCCAGUUCUGUUGUGUGUCAAACCACUUUGUCCAUCAUCAUGAUUACGGCAAAGUGGUGGUGGUUUGUCAAACCUGCCCUGUAUUCGGGGACCACAUCUUUCUCUGCCUGUUAAAGCUCCACGGCUGCCUCUCCAGCCUAGUGACUUGCAUAUUCCCCCGGCUCUGCCCUGCUUCUGUGAUGCAUCCUCUUGUGGUGGGUCUUCUGGCCUCACAGAAAUGUAUUCUCUGCCCCCUUGUCCCGUCGUCCACUCUGGCGAAGAGACCCAGGCUCUUCUGCAUCCUGCAUUGGUUAGUUCUUCUGCAAGUGUCAAAGAGCCACCCUUGAAGCACAUUUUCACCUCUGGGCUUCUCAUCAGAAUGUUAAUUCUCAUGUCACAAGAGAGUAACCCUAGAUCAGUGAAUCCUUGUCCAUCCAGCCUUACCCACAUUUCAGCCCUUCUGGGUAAGGACUUUGAAAGUCUCCUCCCAAUGCUUUGUUCCUGGGACACAUGUCAGCUGCUCAGUGAAUUUCUUAGGCAUGGAAUUUUGUCCAUCUUUAUCAGACUCAGAAAGCUCCUGGUGGACUAUGAUAGAGUUUAUCCCCAGUUAUCAACCAGGACCAGAGCCAGGCAGAUCCUGGAAAGACAUCAGUUGUCUUUUAGGUUUCUUCAGUGUUCUCAAACACAGUGAAAGUUAUCCACGGGGAUCUUCAGAGACAAUGCCUUCAGGAAUAUUCACCCAAGUUUCCCAAAUACAUGUCUUAGGAUCUCAAAGUUAUCCCUACCAAGAUUCUAACUUUAAACUGACAAGCCUGCUUUUGCUUAGCAUUCAGUGACCUUGAGCUGUGUCUGUUCUGGGCCUUCAAUGUGUUCACCAGCUGUGUGUGCUUUUCCACUGAAGGAGAUAGAUGUUUCCUCAGCCUUAACUACUUGUUGUCAGUUACCCACAGAAGCGUUAUCCAUCGUCAAGGUAUCAGUACAAGUUAGCAGAACCCAGCCAGUUCUGCAGACCAUUUCCCCAAAGUUUUCUAAUACCUGAAUCACUGCACUGCUUGUGAAGUGACCUCUUUAUGUCUAUGAGACAUGAUCCCAUUUAUCACUGGAGAAAUUGUUAGCGAACAAUCUAUAUUUGUGCCAGGGACCAUCCAUGUCUACCUGUCACUCUGAACAGCAGCCUCUUCUCCUGACCAAUGACAAGCAUGCCAGUCCCAAAUUCCUAUUUCACUUUUCUGAGAACUCUCUUGGCUGCCUAUGUUCAUUAGGUCCUUCAGGAAGUAGACAUAAAGAUAAGUCAAACUUGAAAGAGAUUUAUUGGGGGAAGCAACCAUGAAGAAAAAGCUUGCAUUUAUUUAAAAGUUCUAAUUCAGAUAAAUAAUUUCCCUACCAGUGACUGGACUCAUAAAGGAAUUAAGGCAAGCAAUUCCUGAGGUAUGUUGGUCUUCUCUGAGCCACGGCUUUCUCUCAGAUUCUUCAUUGUUGAGGUCUAAAUUUUCUGAGAACAAGACAAGGAAAUUGUAAGGAAAUGUCCUACUUGUUCUUUUUACAAUCAGACACCAUUACUAGCAGGAUGUAACCCAAAGGGUACUCGGAGGAAUGAAAUCUGACAGAUGGAUGUGUUUCACUUUGCAGAAUUUGGAAAAUUGAAAUAUGUACACCAUACCAUUGAUACUUAUUCAGGAUUUCAAUAGGCAACUGCUUUGAGUUCUGAAAAAGCUGAUUCUGUAAUGACACAUUUACUAGAAGUUACGGCCAUCAUGGGUAUACCUGCACAAAUUAAAACUGACAAUGCUCCAUCAUAUGUCUCUGUUAAAAUGAAACAAUUUUUUUCUUAUUACAAUAUAAAGCAUAUUACAGGUAUACCACAUAAUCCUACAAGCCAAGCAGUUAUACAAAGAUCAAACAGAACUCUAAAGGAUAUGCUAAAUAAACAGAAAGGGGUAACAAAAACCCCCAGAAACAGACUGCAUAAAGCUAUAUUAACUUUGAAUUUUCUUAAUGCCAAUGAGAAAGGAACAACAGCUGCAGAGAGACAUUGGAUAAUAGAAAAAACUGCCAAAUUAAAUCAGCCUAUAUACUUUAAGGACGUGCUGACCUCAGAAUGGACACCAGGGUAUGUGUUACGUUGGGGACGAGGUUUUGCUUUUGUUUCUACAGGAGAUGAUAAGCUAUGGGUACCAUCAAAAUCGAUAAAGGUUCGAUCUGAACAAGACAGACCUCUUAAUUAGAAGAGGUAAUAGUUCAUCAACCAGCAUGACCAUCCAAUUUAAACUAACUUAUACCAUUAACACAUGCCUUUUCAUUUAAUCAGAUAUAACUUGCCAAAAGGGAACCUCCCCAAAGUUAGUCUUGGGAAAAGGUUUUUGUUUUUGUCUUUUAGGAGAAUGAAAUCUAAGGAAUCUGAAGAACACUGGACAAAUGAGACAUCUGAAGAAAAAGGACAAAUGAUCUAGAAAAAAAUGUCCCAAGAAAAAGAGUAAAAUGGCCUAUUGGUAUAUCAUCUAUAAAAUUUCAUAAGUCUUCCUAAAUGUUGUUUCUGCUCUUCUCUAAAGACAUUUAACACUAUUGUUCUUCUUGUAAUCCCAGUUCAAUUAAAAAUUAAAGCUGACUUUGGAGUUGGAGAAUGGCUCUCUCCUUCUUUAAACCCAAGCAUGUUGUUAAAAGGAAAAUGCAAACUCCUUGUAUCAUGCCGGAAGAAAGAGCCAUCUUCUGAUAUGGGACAGGAGAAAACAAACAAAAAAAAAUUAAGGGACUAUUCUAUUACCACUAAUCUCAAUUUUUUGAUUCUAUUCUGAUCUUUUAAACUUUUCUUAAAGUAUGAAUUUUAUAUCAAAAUUUAUAAGAUUAAUGUAUAUAUACAUAUAUAUUUUAAACUUUGUUAAGAUAUUAAUGGUCAUAUAGAGUACUAAUUCUAGAACAAAGGCUUCAAUUAGCUGCCUAUACAUGUCUUUGUGUUCGAGUCUCUAUCAGUUUUCUGCAGAAAAUCACGACCAGGCCUAACAUCAAAUUUGAAGUCUCCAGGAAGAAGAUGGGGCCCCACAACAACAAUAAUUCCACGUGGACAAUAAUAAUACCACUAAGCUGACAAACAUCAUCUACAGAUCAGCUUUGAACUACAAGGUGCUCAGAGCAAUUUUGAGAUGACUAGCUGAGAUGAUCCAGUUUCACAGACUACUUGAAUAAGGACUUGAGAUAAACCCUGAACUUUGGCAUUAUACACAGACUGGAUAAUGAAGGAUAUGGUUACCUUUCCUAGAAUUUGACAAUUAACCCCAAAUUUUUCUUUUCAGAAUAAAGAUGCCUUCGCCCAUAUCCAGCAAGAAGCAAUUUUAAGAACACAGCACCCACAUUCCCAAAGAGGUGGUGUGGGCCAGGUGGUUUUUGGUCUUUUUAAUGGGUUUUGGGUCUGGGAUAAUUUUCAUUGUUUAGGAGGGCUGGUUACAAGUUGUUGUUAAGGGUUAGGAAAAGGGCUAAGCAAAGGAGAUUAGAUUUAAGGUUCUAGAGGGUAGAUUAUUGAAUCUACUCUGAAAAGUAAAGAGAGGAUAUAGAUAUGAUAUAGAUAAAAGAUUAUUUAAUCUACUUUUAAAAGACAAUUACUAGUUUUAAAUACUUUACAUUAGAUUGGAUUUUUGUUUAUUGUAUACAAAUUAUAUAUAUAUAUAUAUUGAGAUUGAUAUUGUUAGAAAAUGCCAUACGUAUAUUUCUAAUCUUGUUCAAGAUAUUGUACUUAUGCAGUUCAUUUAACAAUGUAAUGAAAUUUGCUAAUCCUUGAAUGUUAUUAUUACCAACUAUUAGAAUAUAAAGAAAUGAAAGUUAACAGACAUUACCAUCGAACUGGUAGUCAUAUUAGGUAUAAUUUCAAGAUCGAGCAGAUAUAUUUUAGAUAGACAGGUCAUCUUCAAACCCUUCAGAGAUCUACAGAAUAUGGCAUUUAAAAUGUUUUAAUAACUUAGAAUUUUUUUCUUUUCUUAUGACUAUGAGACAUGUCGGCUCCUGGCAGUACUAAUCUACUUCAGAGAAAAUAUGGGCAUUGAAGAAACUGCAUAUGGAGUUAACUUUCAUUGUGGCAAAAGUUAGCCACUGGACAACAAAGUGUCCUCGAAUCGACUGCUGACAAACAGGACAAAAUGGACAGGCAGGACAUGAAACAAAGGACUACUGAUUCUUGCCAAGACAAGUGUGGUUGUGGCUUUAGCAACAGGCAUCCUCGGAGGCCAGAACAGUAUGGCAUCAUCCCUGAAGUGGCCUUUGCAAUCCAGAAAAGGUACAGUGCCCCUUUCUUCGAAGGCAGUUGAACUGGCAGUGGGUCGAUGGCUUCUGGUGUGCAGUGGAACAGCAGCUGAAACAGUUAUUCUUGAAGAGUAACUAAGCUGACAGAGUCUAACCUCUCAAUGGUAAACCGGCAUUUAAUAAAAGAGAUGAAGCCACCCACAAGCCAAGAAGAAUGGACAGCUGAAUUAAAAAAAAACAUCAACAAUUUCCAGAAUUUAAAAUCCUGAAUCAUGACGUGACACUAGGGGAAUUCAGGUGUUUCUGGUAUAUGGACUGCUCUCACCCAAAAUGAGGUUGAACUGUUGGCCUUGUGUACAUCCUACUUCACAAAUGAGUCUGUCAGAUACGCUAAGCCUAUAGGCUGAAGAUGAUGUCCCAACACUGUGGAGAAACCUCAGGUGACUGUCCAGGCAGCUGGCUGUUUCUGUCAACUCACAAUUUUUUUUGGAAGCCGCUUGCGUGCACUUCCUUUUUUUUAGGUAAUGUUAUUUCCUUCUUGGGUCUCUGAGGGAGUUGAAGAUUAGAUAAUUAUAGUUAAAAAUUAGUAGUUAUAGUUUUCUUUGUUAUGAAUUUUAGAAAAGAAACUCACUAAAGAGGUGUAAGUGUAUAAAUUUGAAAGACAUUAUAAGAUAGUUCUGGUAAUAUAAGUUAGGAUAGAAAGUGAAUCAGGUACAUUUUGGAUUUACCAAAAUAGGAUAGAUAAUGGAAUAUUUUCUCUGAGUUUGUCAAAUGCAAAUGGACUAGACAUUGUUUAGUUAUUUAUUGCUUGUAUAUAUUAUUUAUAGUUAUUGUACUUAUUGUCUAUAGUUUUUCUUAUGUUAGUUAUAACUUUUUUCCUUUUUUCUUCUUUUUAUUAGAAUAGAAGGGGGAAAUAUGGUGAUAUUUUAUUUGUGCUGAAAUGUGAUUUUAUUUGUAUGUUAAUAAAUAAAGUUGCCUGGGGAUCAGAGCUAAGAGCAAGCCAUUUAGCAGAAGUCAGUGAUGGUGGCACACGCCCUUAAUCCGAUCACAUGGCAGGAAGAGUCUCUGUGUGUUCAAGGACACAGCCAGCAUGGUGACACAUGCCUUUAAUCCCAGUACCAACCAUAGAGACUGGAGGUCUGUAUAGACAGGCAGUGACGAGAAAGUCAUAUGGUUGUGUUUAGAACCAAUGAGAAGAAAGAAAGACAAUGAACAGAACAGAAAGGCAAUGAAAAGACAAGACACAGGAAGAAGUUCUCUCUCAGGGGAAGUACAGCAGCGAGUGGUAAGAUAAGGUGGUCUUAGCUCUUGGCUACUGCUCUGAUCUCUGGGCUUUUAGC